AAAGGGUACCGCAGCUCUUAUACGG
rnacentral:piRNA from 1 species